rnacentral:rRNA from 1 species
UACGUAGGGGGCAAGCGUUGUCCGGAAUUAUUGGGCGUAAAGAGCUCGUAGGCGGUUUGUCGCGUCGGCUGUGAAAACCUGGGGCUCAACCCCGGGCCUGCAGCCGAUACGGGCAAACUAGAAUUCGGUAGGGGAGACUGGAAUUCCUGGUGUAGCGGUGAAAUGCGCAGAUAUCAGGAGGAACACCGGUGGCGAAGGCGGGUCUCUGGGCCGAUAUUGACGCUGAGGAGCGAAAGCGUGGGGAGCAAACAGG